AGCGAACGCUGGCGGCAGGCCUAACACAUGCAAGUCGAACGAACUCUUCGGAGUUAGUGGCGGACGGGUGAGUAACACGUGGGAACGUGCCUUUAGGUUCGGAAUAACUCAGGGAAACUUGUGCUAAUACCGAAUGUGCCCUUCGGGGGAAAGAUUUAUCGCCUUUAGAGCGGCCCGCGUCUGAUUAGCUAGUUGGUGAGGUAAAGGCUCACCAAGGCGACGAUCAGUAGCUGGUCUGAGAGGAUGAUCAGCCACAUUGGGACUGAGACACGGCCCAAACUCCUACGGGAGGCAGCAGUGGGGAAUGUUGCGCAAUGGGCGAAAGCCUGACGCAGCCAUGCCGCGUGAAUGAUGAAGGUCUUAGGAUUGUAAAAUUCUUUCACCGGGGACGAUAAUGACGGUACCCGGAGAAGAAGCCCCGGCUAACUUCGUG
rnacentral:rRNA from 1 species